CGCUGGCCGGGCUGCGUGCAGCCGACGCCGGCGCCUACACCUGCGCCGCGGGAGACGUCGCUGACGCCGUCUACCUGCACGUCGAUGCUGAAAGCCCAAUAGAGGCAAUGCAGCGCGACCAGUCAGCAUCAGAUGGCUCUUCAGAUCUCCAACGGCAUACGUUUUGGGCGGUUACGUUAGGCGUGCUACUUUUGCGGACGUUGCUCAACACUUGACCUUCGCGGAGAGCUUACGUUAUUAUGUAUAUUUUGCGUUUUUGUAAAUAUUGUAAAUAGUUAGUUAUUUAUAAUAGAGUCAGCGUGAGUGGAAAUAAAUACCGAGAUAGUGACAAGCUAA